rnacentral:lncRNA from 1 species
GGCGAGGCGGCGGCGUCGCGAGCGCCCCGUUUAGGAUCGUCGUCAGCUUUGUGACCAUGACGGGUCCGCGGGAUCAUCGCCCACGCGGCGCGGGGGCGGUGGGCGCGCCUCCCGGCUUAGUUCCGGUCCUUGAAAACAUUUCUUUUUUUUUAAUAAUUUUUUUUAUUUUCCCACUGUACAGCAAGGGGGUCAGGUUAUCCUUACAUGUAAGAAAACAUUUCUUAAAAGGGAGGCGAAAGGGAGAGAGCGAGGGCUAAACCGACGCCGCCACAGAGAAGUCCCCCUUGCGACAGGUGCAGGCGAAACCGAGGUUCCGCGCUGCGCCCUGUUCCCGCCACCGACGCACGGAAGAAAGUCUAAAGAUGAGCACCGACGGCUGCUCGGGGCCGAGGGUCCAGCCUAGCGUCUUGGGCACUUGCCGUGUCCGCAGGCUGGUUUGGUUCCGGCCGAGCCUCCCCAGCAGACGCAAAGGGCUCAGUAUUGACGGAACAAACACCUGCUGGCGUGAGACCUUCUUCGGCCCCGACCCACACGCGACGCGCACCACGAGCCCAGGUGAGUCAGGCUGCCAGUGCGUGGCUGCCCUCUGACCCCGAGGGGCCCCCUCCCCGGGGCCGCGCUGCCCCUCACCUGCUGGGCGGCGCUGGUCCAGUCCGUCCUCCAGAUGUGCACCAGGUAGAAGAGGGUCUGCAGGGACACGCAGACCGUCAGUCCGGACCAGAGACCUGCGGGUGCAAAGCGAGGGACCCCGUUUCGCUUUUCUCCAUCCUGCGACCGUCAGCGCAGCGCUGUCCCGGCCCCGCGGUGUCCACACAGCGAACGGCACUUAGAACAGCGCCCCGAGACGCGCGGUCCUUAGGGACCAGGGUCAGCCGCCUGCGUGCCCUGGCCUCUCCGGGGCAGUCGGUCCAUCAGUCACAAUAAAAAGCGCCCCCCAGACUGUCUGCUGCUUUAUAUGCGGCCCCGACGAGUAUUUCCGGGCUCUGUCUGGGCUGGGUGGUGGUGGAAGGGCUGGAAACGCGGAAGGAACAGGCCGAGGGGGUCAGCGCCCUCACAAGGCUUAGGAGCUCCUGGGGAGACACCCGGUGGCCAAGGAAACACGACGCUGCUAAGAGUGACCAGGGCCCAGCAGGACGUGGGCCGAGCCGUGACCUGCAGCCCCGCCA